UACGGAGGAUCCAAGCGUUAUCCGGAAUCAUUGGGUUUAAAGGGUCCGUAGGUGGAUGAUUAAGUCAGGGGUGAAAGUCUGCAGCUCAACUGUAGAAUUGCCUUUGAUACUGGUUAUCUUGAAUUAUUGUGAAGUGGUUAGAAUAUGUAGUGUAGCGGUGAAAUGCAUAGAUAUUACAUAGAAUACCGAUUGCGAAGGCAGGUCACUAACUAUUAACUGACGCUGAUGGACGAAAGCGUGGGUAGCGAACAGG
rnacentral:rRNA from 1 species